UAAGGGAUAUUGCGCAAUGGGCGAAAGCCUGACGCAGCAACGCCGCGUGGAGGAUGACGGCCUUCGGGUUGUAAACUCCUUUGGACGGGGACGAGCAAGGACGGUACCCGUCAAACAAGUCACGGCUAACUACGUGCCAGCAGCCGCGGUAAAACGUAGGUGGCAAGCGUUAUCCGGAUUUACUGGGCGUAAAGCGUGUGCAGACGGGGCAUCAAGUGGGGUAUGAAAUCGCCCGGCUCAACCGGGCGGGGUUAUGCCAGACUGGUGUGCUAGAGACAGAGAGAGGGACGUGGAAUUCCGGGUGUAGUGGUGAAAUGCGUAGAGAUCCGGAGGAACCCCUGAGGCGAAGGCGGCGUCCUGGCUCUGGUCUGACGUUCAGACACGACAGCAUGGGGAGCGAAC
rnacentral:rRNA from 1 species